UGCUGUGAAUUCAGCGCCAGGGUUUACUUCUCCAGACCGAAAUCCUCGAGAAUUUCUCCUUUGUAAAUAGACAUGUAACUGUCGUAUUAUCUCCUGGCGCGUCAUUGUCUCCGAGAACGCUUGGUCGCACGGCAUUACUCUACCGACUACGGAGAUAAGAAGCAAUUUACGAAGCUCACGGUCGAAAUUGUCUUACACCAAUCCUCAAGCCUCGAGGGAUAACGCAACUAGAAGCAUUGACUGAAGCUGAAAGCCGAAAGAGCUGUGUGCCCAGGAGGAACAAGCUAACAACAGUGAAUUCGAGCAAAAUCUACAGGGGGAAGCUUAGGCUCAUUUUGAUAGUUGGCAGUAAUUCAACGGUGGCACUGCAAAACGAAAAUGCGUAGCAUAAAAGGAUGGAAAGAUUUGCAACGAGUAAGCCGGAAAGGUGGAUGGACGUGACGAAGCAAAGAAAAGGAUGCGAUUCAACCAAGGGAAGCAAAUGCCUCGUUAAUAACGGGACGAAUGGAGAACUAAUUAUUCUUGGGGUUCUCCGUUGUCAGAGGGAGAAUAUUCUUUUGGAUUUUGAAUUGCUAGUAAAAUUACUUCAGCCGUGUGAAAUUGACUUACGUAGUCCUGAUAAAAUGUUCAAAUGUAUGUACAGUAGUGAAUAUUCUGUGUAUCUUCCUUACUGGGUUGUGAUAUACAUAUACAUAUAUAUAUAUAGCGUAUCAUCUCGUGGUGAAUAAAUUCAAGGGAAGGGAAGGACAUGACGAAGCCGAAAUUAAAUGACGAAAUAAAUCAAGUCGCUGGAAGACUGGAAGUGGAUACUGUAUCCUUAUACGUAGACAAGCAGCGAGAGGUUCACUGCAUUCUAAACUCGACGGCGCCGGCAGCUAAAGUCCCUCCCGGUAGAAAGUAAUUAAUCGCGAAACCGGCGUUUCUGCAUUCCGUUGUCUCUUCCGCUUUUCUCAUCCCCGAUCCUUGCCAUCAUUUCCGGUGAAAAACUGAGAGGAUCUUCGUUGAGAACAUUAAUUUAUAUUGAGGUAGGCCAGAGAUAAGUGUAAUCCGCUUUUACAGAUUCUAAUUAAACAAUGCAAAUCUUUACGUAUUCCAAAGCUGCUUCCUUCGUUCUUCCUAUACUUCUUAAUCCUAACUUUUCUUGUUUCACCUUCGUUUUUAAAAAGCGUAAAGGUACGCGAGUUCCCUUUGUAUAAUAUAAUAUAUAUGCUAUAGCAUGUAUAUGAAUCUGAAAUUCCCACUGACGAAAUUUUCCGCGAUAAAGGAAACUUUUAAUGCGCCUGAAAAAGAAUCCAGCGAACUUUCAAAGCAGACGGUAUUCUAUAGGUACUUAAUCCUGAUUGGUCCUUAUCGCGCGAAAAGUGGUCCUUCCUAUAGGAAUAUUUAAAGAUUUUCUUAGUUUAUCCCAAGUAGCUAUACUGUAACAGUAUUUUUUACCAUUUGAUAGACGAGCGUCGUUUACUUCGCUACGUCGUUGUGAUGCUGGUUUCCCAUAGCGAAGUAUCAUUUCUAAAGGAUAAAUGUCUACUGGGGCAAAACUCAUCAGGAGGACACACAUGUUCCCCAUCAGGGCUGAGUGGCGUUUGGAGAUGAGCAUGGGCGUCACGUUUUAAUUCAUAAUUAAGUGAUAAUGGUCCUGGCGACAUCUGCUCUCCUU